UCCAAGGGCUCAUGCUGCAAUGUCAGCCCCAGCAGCAGCCUGGCCCCGCCCCGGCCAGCCCACCAGGCACCUGCGGGGCUCCUCUUUGUCUCAGGCUGCUCGGGGCCAGGAAGGCUGCAGCUCUCAAGUAGUGGUCUGAGUACCACCUAGAGUGCAGGGACGGGGAUCUUCAAUCUCCUUCCCUCAACCUCAGAGAUGGGAUCAGCAUCAGUGCCUCCUUUCUGGGCUGCCGAGGACUGGCCAGAAUCAGCAGGAUUCUCUCCUCAUGCCCCUGGCUCCACACAGAAGGCCAAGGCAACGAUCCAGUCCUUUCAUGAGUCCCACAACCAAUCUUUGUCUGCAGAACAGCUCUCAGGAUGGUGUGCAGGAACAGCUGCCUGGACCAAGAGCGCAGCACUGACUGACUAAGGUAGAUGAGGGGAAACAUUUUUGCUCUCCCAUAGCCGGGUAUGAGACAGCAGCCUCGUGGGGAGGCGAAGAGGAAACACACAGACGCUCCGCUCCGGCCUGGGCCAGGGCUGGGUGUGAAAUACCGGAUUUCCUUGUUUAUUCGAUUUUCUGAUCAUUAAGAGCUCCCAAGAGGGGCCCGAAAUUACCACCCAAACAAAGCCACCUUCCAGCA